AUGAACGCUGGCGGCGUGCUUAACACAUGCAAGUCGAACGGAGUUUACAUGUGAGCGAGGGUGCUUGCAUCUAACAAUCUUUUGUAAACUUAGGUGGCGGACGGGUGAGUAACGCGUGGGUAACCUGCCUUGUACAGGGGGACAACAGUUGGAAACGACUGCUAAUACCGCAUAAGCGCACAGAGCUGCAUGGCUCAGUGUAGAAAAACUUUAGUGGUACAAGAUGGACCCGCGUCUGAUUAGCUAGUUGGUGAGGUAACGGCCCACCAAGGCGACGAUCAGUAGCCGGCCUGAGAGGGUGAACGGCCACAUUGGGACUGAGACACGGCCCAAACUCCUACGGGAGGCAGCAGUGGGGAAUAUUGCACAAUGGGGGAAACCCUGAUGCAGCGACGCCGCGUGAGUGAAGAAGUAUUUCGGUAUGUGAAGCUCUAUCAGCAGGGAAGAAAAUGACGGUACCUGACUAAGAAGCACCGGCUAAAUACGUG
rnacentral:rRNA from 1 species